rnacentral:rRNA from 1 species
CCUACGGGAGGCAGCAGUGAGGAAUAUUGGUCAAUGGACGCGAGUCUGACCCAGCCAAGUAGCGUGAAGGAUGAAUGCCCUAUGGGUUGUAAACUUCUUUUAUAUGGGAAUAAAAUGUUCCACGUGUGGGAUUUUGUAUGUCCCAUAUGAAUAAGGAUCGGCUAACUCCGUGCCAGCAGCCGCGGGAAUACGGAGGAUCCGAGCGUUAUCCGGAUGUAUUGGGUUUAAAGGGAGCGUAGGUGGAUUGUUAAGUCAGUUGUGAAAGUUUGCGGCUCAACCGUAAAAUUGCAGUUGAAACUGGCAGUCUUGAGUACAGUAGAGGUGGGCGGAAUUCGUGGUGUAGCGGUGAAAUGCUUAGAUAUCACGAAGAACUCCGAUUGCGAAGGCAGUCCACUGGACUGCAACUGACACUGAGGCGCGAAAGUGUGGGUAUCAAACAGGAUUAGAUACCCGUGUAGUC